CGCCAGACUCCUACGGGAGGCAGCAGUGGGGAAUAUUGCACAAUGGGGGAAACCCUGAUGCAGCGACGCCGCGUGAGUGAAGAAGUAUUUCGGUAUGUAAAGCUCUAUCAGCAGGGAAGAAAAUGACGGUACCUGACUAAGAAGCCCCGGCUAACUACGUGCCAGCAGCCGCGGUAAUACGUAGGGGGCAAGCGUUAUCCGGAUUUACUGGGUGUAAAGGGAGCGUAGACGGCAUGGCAAGUCAGAUGUGAAAGCCCGGGGCUCAACCCCGGGACUGCAUUUGAAACUGUCAGGCUGGAGUGCAGGAGAGGUAAGUGGAAUUCCUAGUGUAGCGGUGAAAUGCGUAGAUAUUAGGAGGAACACCAGUGGCGAAGGCGGCUUACUGGACUGUAACUGACGUUGAGGCUCGAAAGCGUGGGGAGCAAACAGGAUUAGAUACCCUGGUAGA
rnacentral:rRNA from 1 species